AACGUAGGACGCAAGCGUUAUCCGGAGUUACUGGGCGUAAAGCGCGGGCAGGCGGUCUUGCCAGUCUGAUGUGAAAUCUCUCAGCUCAACUGGGAGCAGCCAUUGGAAACUACAAGACUGGAGUCUGGCAGAGGUAGGCGGAAUUCCGGGUGGAGUGGUGAAAUGCGUAGAGAUCCGGAGGAACACCAGAGGCGAAGGCGGCCUACUGGGCCAGUACUGACGCUGAGCCGCGAAAGCCAGGGGAGCGAACGGA
rnacentral:rRNA from 1 species